AUGUAGAAAUGCCAUAAACUGCAGUUCCUUGAAUAGCCACUCGAGGCUUGCUCCAAAAGCGAGUCAAUCCCCAAAGACUCCACCGUGUUAAAAUGCCUAUUUUUA